CCGGUGGCUUAGUUGGUAGAGCACAGCCUUGGUAAGGCUGGGAUCGCGAGUUCAAGUAUAGGCACCGCA
rnacentral:tRNA from 1 species